AGCAGCCGCGGUAAUUCCAGCUCCAAUAGCGUAUAUUAAAGUUGUUGCAGUUAAAAAGCUCGUAGUUGAAUUUCGAGAUCAAUUUGUUGGUCGUGCCUCGGUACGUACUGGCAAUUUUGAUUUCUCCCUUCUGAAGAACCAUGAUGUCAUUAAUUUGGUGUCAUGGGGAAUCAGGACCGUUACUUUGAAAAAAUUAGAGUGUUUAAAGCAGGCUCGCGCUUGAAUACAUUAGCAUGGAAUAAUGAAAUAGGACGUUUGAUUCUAUUUUGUUGGUUUCUAGGAUCGACGUAAUGAUUAAUAGGGAUAGUUGGGGGCAUUAGUAUUCAAUUGUCAGAGGUGAAAUUCUUGGAUUUAUUGAAGACUAACUACUGCGAAAGCAUUUGCCAAGGAUGUUUUCAUUAAUCAAGAACGAAAGUUAGGGGAUCGAAGACGAUCAGAUACCGUCGUAGUCUUAACCAUAAACUAUGCCGACUAGGGAUCGGAUGAUGUUAAUUUUUUAAUGACUCAUUCGGCGCCUUACG
rnacentral:ncRNA from 3 species